UCGAGAAUAUUCCUCAAUGGGCGAAAGCCUGAAGGAGCGACGCCGCGUGUAUGAUGACGCCUCUCGGGGUGUAAAGUACUUUUCUCUAGGACGAAACAAUGACGGUACUAGAGGAAUAAGGAGCUGCUAACUUCGUGCCAGCAGCAGCGGUAAUACGAAGGCUCCAAGCAUUAUCCGGAUUUAUUGGGCGUAAAGCGCGCGUAGGCGGUUUAUCACAUCUCCUGUCAAAUCACGAGGCUCAACUUCGUGGCCGCAGGAGAGAUGGACAAGCUAGAGACUGGAAGAGGCAAGUGGAAUUGCUGGUGUAGGGGUUAAAUCCGUUAAUAUCAGCAGGAACACCCAAAGCGAAAGCAGCUUGCUAGAACAGUUCUGACGCUAAGGCGCGAAAGCGUGGGGAGCGAAUGGG
rnacentral:rRNA from 1 species